GCAUGCUUUUGCGGCACAGUCGAUAGCGCGCUGGACUUCGAGCUAGAACAGAAGGUCGAGGGCUCGACCUGCUCCCUGCCUGUUUCAUUACACUGUUUCUGUAUUACGAGUAGGCUGUAUCAUCUGUAAGAACUGUGUACAAGCCACCAAGCUCAUAAAAUAUUGGAGCUAACAGUCAUUAGUUAAAUUACAUGUUAACCAUAUCGAUAGCCUAAUUGAGGCGCAGUAGAGUUCACCGGCGAAUGCAGACACACUGGAAAUAAUAACUAAAACAACGAAAGAGAAAUGGUGGAGGCUCCCAGAAUGAAGACAGACAUUUUUCGGAAUAAACGUGGGCACUGCAAGGUUGGGUGACCAGAGCCAUCUGGGACUGCCUCUUGGGGGAAUUCAGGCGUGUGAAGUCUUCCUGUGUCCUGCAUAACUUCAUGAGGAUGGACACAAGGUCCAGGAGGGGAUAUACAGCUCGCUGCCAUGUGCCAGAGGAGAAGUCUGCUGCUCUGCAGGAUGUUUCAAGGAUGGGGUCCAACAACACAGCAAGAGAGGCAAUCUGUGUGCAGGAGAUCUUUACCUCCUACUUCUUUCUGUACUUGGGUUUCUGUACAGCACUUUGAGAUAUCAGCUGAUGUAUGUCUUGAUGUGAGAGGAUGCCAACCCUGAGUCCAGUCAUUGCCAACUCACCCGCUAUUAAGAUAACCUUUGGGCUGACUGGGAGCCCAAGGCUGGUUAGGAGACACCACUAGAGACACUAUUAUGUAAUUAUGAUGAACAGAGAAUAUUAGGGUAGCACUGUGAUUCAUUAAUCAUAUGCUGUCUUCCCUGAUCCUCUGUUACCUCUUUCCCAUUCUCUUUUACACCUCUCUCGCCACCUCUUUCUUCCUGUUUUUAUAAUGCACACCAGAUGUGCAUUGAAGUACAGAUUGAACUUGUAUUUAUAAAAUUACAAUUAUAAUACAUCUAUUAUGUAUUCAUAACACUUGGAUAAUUAACU